GGACUACUCCCUCCGUUCCAAAUUAGUUGACUUGAAUUUGUCUAAAUACGGAUGUAUCUAUACUUAUUUAGUGUCUAGAUACAUCUGUGUCUAGAUAAAUAUGAGUCAAGUAAUUUGAAACGAAGGUGAAACGAA
rfam:Triticum aestivum genome assembly, contig: Triticum_aestivum_CS42_TGACv1_scaffold_602597_7DL